UUGCUCACUUUGGUAGCACAUAUACUAAAAUUGAAAUGAUACAGAGAAGAUUAGCAUGGCCUCUGUGCAAGGAUGACAUGCAAAUUUGUGAAGCAUUUCAUAUAUUU
rnacentral:snRNA from 1 species